rnacentral:rRNA from 1 species
GACGAACGCUGGCGGCGUGCUUAACACAUGCAAGUCGAACGGUAAGGCUCCAGCUUGCUGGGGUACACGAGUGGCGAACGGGUGAGUAACACGUGGGUGACCUGCCCUGCACUUCGGGAUAAGCCUGGGAAACUGGGUCUAAUACCGGAUAGGACCAUGGUGUGGAUACUGUGGUGGAAAGUUUUUUCGGUGUGGUGUGGGCCCGCGGCCUAUCAGCUUGUUGGUGGUGUAAUGGCCUACCAACGCGGCGACGGGUAGCCGGCCUGAGAGUGUUGACGGCCACAUUGGGACUGAGAGACGGCGCAGACGCCUAUGGUGGGCAGCAGUGGGGAAUAUGGCACAAUGGGCGGAAGCCUGAUGAAGCGACGCCGGGUGGGGGAUGACGGCCUUCGGGUGGUAAACUCCUUUCACCAUAGACGAAGGGUUUCUGACGGUAGAUGGAGAAGAAGCACCGGCUAACUACGUG